rnacentral:rRNA from 1 species
UAGGAAUAUACCUUGAAGUGGGGGACAACCUGGGGAAACUCAGGCUAAUACCGCAUAAUUUCUUAGGAAAAAAGCUGGGGACCUUCGGGCCUGGCGCUUCAAGAUUAGCCUGCGUACGAUUAGUUAGUUGGUAGGGUAAAGGCCUACCAAGGCGACGAUCGUUAGCUGGUCUGAGAGGAUGAUCGGCCACACUGGGACUGAGACACGGCCCAGACUCCUACGGGAGGCAG